rnacentral:rRNA from 1 species
UACGCAGGGUGCGAGCGUUGUCCGGAAUUACUGGGCGUAAAGAGCUCGUAGGUGGUUUGUCGCGUUGUUCGUGAAAACUCACAACUCAAUUGUGGGCGUGCGGGCGAUACGGGCAGACUGGAGUACUGCAGGGGAGACUGGAAUUCCUGGUGUAGCGGUGGAAUGCGCAGAUAUCAGGAGGAACACCGGUGGCGAAGGCGAGCCCCUGGACAACACCUGACACUGAGGCACGAAAGCCGGGGGAGCAAACAGG